UUUUUUUCGGUUCAGGCAUUUCUGGUUUCAUCUAUUCUUUUUCUCUUUUUUUUUUUUUUUUUAGCAGGAUCGACCUCGAUUCCUCUUUCGUUCCCAAUAAGCCUCAGCAACUUACCGGACAGCACUCCACAAGUGCACUGAUUCGGACUCAACCUCAGUCUGAAUUAUCUCGAUCCGGUCAAACAACCUGCCCCGGAUCUACCAGAUGCCCUUCUUCUG
rnacentral:lncRNA from 1 species